CAGGUUUGAUUCCUUCCUUUGAUCAUUGUUAACCACCCAAGUAUUUGUCCUCUAGAGGUGAUCCACCAAGGAAGAACAAAUAUUCAAGAAGGGUGUAUUGGCUAAAACCCUAGUUUUCUUUCUCUAUAGAAAAAGGGCGUACUCUCCAACAAUUGGAAUCAUGUAUCACAUGUUUUGUAAAAACUAUCAAUAUUCACCCAUAAUAAGACUCCUCUUAUUUAUAGAUGUAGACAAACCUCCUUAACAAUUAAGGAAUUGGGUUUUAUUUUAAUUAAUU
rnacentral:lncRNA from 1 species